rnacentral:lncRNA from 1 species
GUAGUUAUUCGGUAGUUGUUGGUAGUGGCAUAAAUUAUGGGUUUAUACAUAAUAAUGGGUAGUGGCAAAGAUCAUAGUCUUAUGAUGUUGUCACCAUGUUCUGUUUAGUUAUUUAGUUAUUUCCAUGUUUUGUUUAGUUAUUUUCAAAUUCUGAUUUGUAGGAGGUUAGCCUCCACUAUGUUAUUUUAAGUUCUUAUUUUUUAGGAGAUUGUUAAAACUCCAACUUGUAUUUAAGUUGACAGUAGAUUAAUAACAAUCAGCUAAAAAAUUUUCAGAAGUCUUUGAGUACUCAAUUCAAGAGAUCCAAGUUAUCUCUCACGAAUCUGAUUAAAUUUUCACCAUUCUCAUCCUUCUCUUCCACCUGAUUCCUUAGCCCACAGACCCAUAACUAGAUCCAUUUUGCAGGACCCUAACAAAUUGGUAUCAGAGCUAGGGGUUAUGGGGGAUUAUAUCUGGCAACAAUUAGAUUGAAUUCUCACCUUGUUCUUAGAAGAGCAACCAGCCAAUAAGGCUUGGCAAAAUGAAUUAAAUUCAAAAUUAGAAGCUCUCACUUGUGACAUUGCCAAUUUAGCACAACCCACAGAAAUUGGUAGCCAUUCUCACACUCAAAAGGCCAAAAGAGUAACAGAUUCCACAGGUUCUGAAAAUUCAAGUAGUGGUACCAUUGUUCCAAAAUUUACCAAACUUGAUUUUCUCUGCAUCAGUGGACAGGAGGAUCCUUUAGGGUGACUCAGCAGAUGUGAUCAUUUUUUCCUAACAUUAACAAACUUUAGAAGAGAAGAAGGUUAGUCUAGCUUCAUUUCACCUGAAGGGCAUAACACAACUAUGGUUCCUGCAAGACUAUCCGAACUUGACAUGGAAAUAUUUCAAAAACCAAUACAAAAAACUAUUUUGGCUAGAUUUAGUAGAUGAUGACCCGAGAGGUGUCGCAACGGACCAGCUACUGCUGAAUAGUUCCUAAAAAUAUUUUGAGUUUGCGCUUGGAUAAUUAUUCAGUAGUUGGUAGUGGCAUAGAUAAUGGGUUGAUGCAUAAUAAUGGGUAGUGGCAAAGAUCAUGGGUCUUGUAAUGUUGUCACCAUGUUCUGUUUAGUUAUUUAGUUAUUUCCAUGUUUUGUUUAGUUAUUUUCAAAUUCUAAUUUGUAGGAGGUUAGCCUCCAUUGUGUUAUUUUAAGUUCCUAAGUUUCUAAUUUUUAGGAGGUAGUUAAAACUCAAACAUCAGUUAGAAAAUUCCAAAAGUCUUUGAGUGUUCUCUCUAAUGAAUCUGAUUAAAUUUUCACUAUUCUCAUCCUUCCCUUCUACCUGAUUCCUUAGCCCACAGACCCAUAACUAGAUCCAUUUCGCAGGACCCUAACACAAAUCUAUUAAACAGAAUUAAAUUCAGGAAGAGUUACCCUUUCUUAAAUAUACUAGACACUUCUAGAUAACAUAAAGCCAUCUAGUGCAAUUGCAACCAAGGCAUGUGCAUGCUGAAGGCCUAAGAGCUUUCAGUUUAUUAAAAAAUGACACUUCCAUAUGAAGACAAUCAGGAAAAAUCCUCUCUAUUUGGAGGCAAUAUUGAAUGUUGCAGCAGUUGUAAAAAAACC